UACAGAGACUGCAAGCGUUAUUCGGAUUCACUGGGCGUAAAGGGUGCGCAGGCGGCCAAGUGUGUGAGGCGUGAAAGCCCGAUGCUUAACAUCGGAAUUGCACCUCAAACUACAUGGCUAGAGCAUUGGAGAGGGUAGCGGAAUUCACGGUGUAGCAGUGAAAUGCGUAGAUAUCAAGUGGAACACCAGUGGCGAAGGCGAGUUCCUGGACACUUCCUGACACUGAGGCACGAAAGCUAGGGGAGCAAACAGG
rnacentral:rRNA from 1 species